UCCCUGGUAGUAUAUCGGUUAGUACACGCGCCUGUCAUCUCGUGUAUGAAAGUUGUAGACGCGCGAAAGCUGGGUUCGACUCCCAGCCAGGGAG